rnacentral:tRNA from 1 species
GCCCCUGUGGCGGAAUCGGUAGACGCGGCAGACUCAAAAUCUGUUUCCGGCAACGGAGUGGGAGUUCAAGUCUCCCCGGGGGCACCA